rnacentral:rRNA from 1 species
AUUGAACGCUGGCGGCAGGCCUAACACAUGCAAGUCGAACGAGUGGCGGACGGGUGAGUAAUGUCUGGGAAACUGCCCGAUGGCGGGGGAUAACUACUGGAAACGGUAGAUAAUACCGCAUACCAUCGGAUGUGCCCAGAUGGGCUUAGCUUGUAGGUGAGGUAACGGCUCACCUAGGCGACGAUCCCUCGCUGGUCUGAGAGGAUGACCAGCACCACUGGAACGGAGACAGGGCCCAAACUCCUACGGGAGGAAGCAGUGGGGAAUAUUGCAAAAUGGGCGCAAGCCGGAUGCAGCCAGGCCGCGUGUAUGAAGAAGGCCUUCGGGUUGUAAAGUACUUUCAGCGGGGAGGCGGUACCCGCAGAAGAAGCACCGGCUAACUCCGUGCCAGCCGCCGCGGUAAUAC